ACGAGCCGGAUGACGCGAGAGUGUCACGUCCGGAUCUGUGGGGGCCGGCGGGUGAAACUCCCGCCGGCUAMCCGGC
rfam:Frankia sp. Cc1.17 contig_153, whole genome shotgun sequence.